GACGAACGCUGGCGGCGUGCUUAACACAUGCAAGUCGAACGAUGAACCCGGAGCUUGCUCCGGCGGAUUAGUGGCGAACGGGUGAGUAACACGUGAGUAACCUGCCCUUGACUCUGGGAUAACUGCGGGAAACUGUAGCUAAUACCGGAUACGACCCUCGGCGGCAUCGCCAGGGGGUGGAAAGAAUUUCGGUCAAGGAUGGGCUCGCGGCCUAUCAGCUAGUUGGUGAGGUAACGGCUCACCAAGGCGACGACGGGUAGCCGGCCUGAGAGGGUGACCGGCCACACUGGGACUGAGACACGGCCCAGACUCCUACGGGAGGCAGCAGUGGGGAAUAUUGCACAAUGGGCGCAAGCCUGAUGCAGCAACGCCGCGUGAGGGAUGACGGCCUUCGGGUUGUAAACCUCUUUUAGUAGGGAAGAGGCGAAAGUGACGGUACCUGCAGAAAAAGCACCGGCUAACUACGUGCCAGCCGCCGCCGUAA
rnacentral:rRNA from 1 species